CCUACGGGAGACAGCAGUGAGGAAUAUUGGUCAAUGGGCGAGAGCCUGAACCAGCCAAGUCGCGUGAGGGAGUACUGCCCUAUGGGUUGUAAACCUCUUUUGUCGGGGAGCAAAAGCCGGACGUUUCCGGCUGUGAGAGUACCCUAAGAAAAAGCAUCGGCUCACUCCGUUCCAGCAGCCGCGGUAAUACGGAGGAUGCGAGCGUUAUUCGGGUUUAUUGGGUUAAAAGGGUGCGUAGGCGGACUGGAAAGUCAGCGGUAAAAUCGAGAGGCUCAACCUCUUUCCGCCGUUGAAACUGUCGGUCUUGAGUGGGCGAGAGGUAGGCGGAAUGCGUGGUGUAGCGGUGAAAUGCAUAGAUAUCACGCAGAACUCCGAUUGCGAAGGCAGCAUACCGGAGAGCGACUGACGCUGAGGCACGAAAGCGUGGGUAUCGAACAGGAUUAGAUACCCCUGUAGUC
rnacentral:rRNA from 1 species